rnacentral:rRNA from 1 species
AUUGAACGCUGGCGGCAGGCCUAACACAUGCAAGUCGAACGAGCGGCGGACGGGUGAGUAAUGUCUGGGAAUCUGCCUGAUGGAGGGGGAUAACUACUGGAAACGGUAGCUAAUACCGCAUACCAUCGGAUGUGCCCAUAUGGGAUUAGCUGGUAGGUGGGGUAACGGCUCACCUAGGCGACGAUCCCUAGCUGGUCUGAGAGGAUGACCAGCCACACUGGAACUGAGACACGGUCCAGACUCCUACGGGAGGCAGCAGUGGGGAAUAGUGCACAAUGGGCGCAAGCCUGAUGCAGCCAUGCCGCGUGUAUGAAGAAGGCCUUCGGGUUGUAAAGUACUUUCAGCGGGGAGGCGUUACCCGCAGAAGAAGCACCGGCUAACUCCGUGCCAGCAGCCGCGGUAAUUC